rnacentral:snoRNA from 1 species
AAGUGUACACUUUUCAUGGGUCAUUUCUGUAGUUGAUCACUAGAGGAGAGUGAUCGCUCCUGAUCAGCGUCACAAGCCACGAGAAGGAGCGAGGUGUUCUCUCCUGAGCGGGAAGCGGGUGGGUGGUGCUGCUUGGGCAGGGUCUGCCCACCGUUGAUGACCAUUCCCACCAUGUUGGUGGGGCUGGGAGGGAGAGAUCACAGGCUGAGUGGU